GCUCCCUGCCGCGCAGCCAAUGGCAGCGCCCCAAGCGGAGCCGGCCAUGGGCGGGCACGGCACGCGGCGGCAGGCGGGGAGCGAGACAGUCUGGGCGGGGGAGGCGGCGGCGCUGAUUGAGCGGUAUUUGGUUUCAGGCCGGCCGGGCUUGAAUCCCCGUACCAGUGAGUAGCUCGUGGUCUUCCAGGGAAAGGGCCGCUGAACAUCCCGCCUGUGAAAAACGCCAAUCACUUGUUUUUAAAAUUUGAAAAGUUUAAUAGUAAUAAAAUGGUUAUAAAAA